rnacentral:rRNA from 1 species
GCGACUAAGCGUACACGGUGGAUGCCCUGGCAGUCAGAGGCGAUGAAGGACGUGCUAAUCUGCGAUAAGCGUCGGUAAGGUGAUAUGAACCGUUAUAACCGGCGAUUUCCGAAUGGGGAAACCCAGUGUGAUUCGUCACACUAUCAUUAACUGAAUCUAUAGGUUAAUGAGGCGAACCGGGGGAACUGAAACAUCUAAGUACCCCGAGGAAAAGAAAUCAACCGAGAUUCCCCCAGUAGCGGCGAGCGAACGGGGAGCAGCCCAGAGCCUGAAUCAGUGUGUGUGUUAGUGGAAGCGUCUGGAAAGGCGCGCGAUACAGGGUGACAGCCCCGUACACAAAAAUGCACAUGCUGUGAGCUCGAUGAGUAGGGCGGGACACGUGGUAUCCUGUCUGAAUAUGGGGGGACCAUCCUCCAAGGCUAAAUACUCCUGACUGACCGAUAGUGAACCAGUACCGUGAGGGAAAGGCGAAAAGAACCCCGGCGAGGGGAGUGAAAAAGAACCUGAAACCGUGUACGUACAAGCAGUGGGAGCACAGAGCAAUCUGUGUGACUGCGUACCUUUUGUAUAAUGGGUCAGCGACUUAUAUUCUGUAGCAAGGUUAACCGAAUAGGGGAGCCGAAGGGAAACCGAGUCUUAACUGGGCGUUAAGUUGCAGGGUAUAGACCCGAAACCCGGUGAUCUAGCCAUGGGCAGGUUGAAGGUUGGGUAACACUAACUGGAGGACCGAACCGACUAAUGUUGAAAAAUUAGCGGAUGACUUGUGGCUGGGGGUGAAAGGCCAAUCAAACCGGGAGAUAGCUGGUUCUCCCCGAAAGCUAUUUAGGUAGCGCCUCGUGAAUUCAUCUCCGGGGGUAGAGCACUGUUUCGGCAAGGGGGUCAUCCCGACUUACCAACCCGAUGCAAACUGCGAAUACCGGAGAAUGUUAUCACGGGAGACACACGGCGGGUGCUAACGUCCGUCGUGAAGAGGGAAACAACCCAGACCGCCAGCUAAGGUCCCAAAGUCAUGGUUAAGUGGGAAACGAUGUGGGAAGGCCCAGACAGCCAGGAUGUUGGCUUAGAAGCAGCCAUCAUUUAAAGAAAGCGUAAUAGCUCACUGGUCGAGUCGGCCUGCGCGGAAGAUGUAACGGGGCUAAACCAUG